CACGGCUCUGUGUGUGCUCUGUGUGGCCGCAGUGGUUCCGCGGCCGGUCACGGCUCUGUGUGGGCUCUGUGUCUCCGCAGUGGUUCCGCGGCCCGUGACGGCUGUGUGGGCUCUGUGUGGGCUCUUUGUGGACUCUGUGUGCCCGCAGUGGUUCCAGAGCGCUGCUGACGGCUGUGUGUGCGCUCUGUUGUGUGCUCUGUGUCCCCGUAGUGGUUCCACAGCGCGGAUGACGGCGGGGAAGGCGCCGGCGGGGUCACGGGCAGCAAGUUCCGGGCGGACUGGGCGUUCCGGCAGCGGGACUUCGAGAAAGCCUUGUGUGAAUAUUCAGAUUGCCUGCUACUCUUACCUGCCAGCAACAUUGCAAUGAGACGUGAUGUGCAGGAGGGCCAGGCUCGGUGUUUAUCUCGCCUAGGAAGGCACAAGGAGGCUCUGGAUAUUGCAGAAAAAAUGAGAAACAGCGCUACUAACACGGAUCACUUAACAACGGUUCUCAACCUGCAGUUUUCCAUUUACCAGGGUCUGGAAAAUGUAGAAAAAAAGAUUAUGUGUCUGCAGCAACUGAUCUGUUUACAUCCUUUCAAUCCUUGGUUCUGGAAGUUACUUGCUGAAGCUUAUAUGAGCCUUUUACAGAAUUUGUCUUCAUUGGUCAUUCCAGAAGCAAAUCUAAAUCAGUCUGAAGAGGUUUGUGUAAGUAACAGCAGUUUCAAAACAUCGACUGGAAUAGAGAUUAAUUUGCAGUCUCACAGAUCAGAUGGCCAGAAAGAAAGCCCUUGUUUCAGCCUUGUUGCAGAAACAAAUGGGGAGAAUGCAGUGACUUGUCCCAGCACCCAAGUGGUGAAAGAAUUCCUCUACACUUCAGGAGAACUGGAACGGACAGACAAAGAGAAAAGCGCAGACUCCACGUCCUGGAAGCAGAACAUUUUAAAGAAAGUUGGGAUAAAAGCAUGUGCCUCGUUUAUCAGAGCAAGGCUUUUACUUCAGCUUACCGAGUCACAACAGUUGUCCUUUGUGCUAGAAAAUAACAGAAAAGAUCAAAAAGAAAUUGAUGACAAAGUGGCUCUUCUUGGUUUCGAUGAAAACUCCUUGCUGUUGAUGACCAAAGCUAUGGGGCAGGAUCUUAUACCAGAAAAACUAAAAGAGGAGUUUCAGGGUGAGGUAAAAUGCAUAGGCUCUUCAGCAUUGUCAUCACUGAUAACUGCUUCAGUCAUGGAAUUUGAAAUCAAAUGGUUUGGUAAUCUCCAAGAUGAUGUGCUUUGGGAAGGACCCUCUGCUGCUGUUUCUGAUGCUCCUGAAAUGAGCACUGUCUACAAACACCAUUGUGUAUCUUAUCUUGAGUGUUUGAAUGCUGCUGGCUUUGAGGAGGAAUAACGGGGUAAGAACAGGGAACUGUCUGUCUCACAAAGAAAAGGAAAAAAAAACAAAUCAAAACCAAGCAGCUGCCUGUGGAAGAACAGGCAAACUGAUGACAAUGGACAUGGAGAAGGCUGAGGUAUGCUUCCAAAUGAUUGCUCUUCCAAGGAGAAGAAACCUUCUUCACCUGCAUAUAUUAUUAUCAUCCACAGUCUACAUAAUUAGAUUGUAUUCCUUUUUGAGCAGGUGAGAAGUCAGGGAAAACAGGCCAGAAGUGCAAGUGUGUUUAGGGUUCUGUUUUCUGUUGGAGGCAGAUGAGAGAUGAUACAAAGCAGGUAUGGAAAAAAAAUCAACAGCUGUUAGACAUCUUGGUAACUUUGAAUGGAAAUCCUUUGUUUCAUGAAUUUUCUUACUUUCGCUUACUUAGUAAGCUUCCUUAGUUUUCAGGGAUUAUUUGCAGAAAGUUUUUCUGGUUUGAUUCAAGCUGCUGAACCUUUGUAACUCCCUUUGUAACUCUAGUCCAUGAGCACUACAGACACUCGGUUUAUCUUUAAAAAUUAGAGGCCAUGAAGAACUCGGCAUUAUCUCUAACUUCAUGUUCAAUCAGGUGACCACAGAAAGGAUUUCAAAGAUCCAUGUGUCCAAAUGAAUUGCAACUCAGUCCUGGUGUGUUAUGAGUAGGACUUUGCUUCUUUAACUCAGCUUCAUUUUUCAGUCUGAACCUUCACAGCUGCUCUGCAUAAGGAAAGUUGCCCUGAGCUGGUAGGAUUGGAGAUUUGUCACCAAGUGCGCUGGGACACACCUGUGUUGCUGACCAGUAAAUGUAAGGUGUCUUCCAUAACCAGAACUUCUGUCUCAGUCCUUCCUAAGAAUCCUUGGGAACAGCCAUCCUUGCUGUGCAGCUCAAGCAGAGAGCUCUGAGGCAGGUCCUGUGCUUCCCUGCCAGCCUGAAGGUAGUCCCCCUAAAUCAAGAUAAAGGUUUGAUGAGAGCACAAAGGUAGCCUGCUGCUGCCAGCAUCAUCUCUGUUUGCCGUGGAAAUAGCAGCCUUCAGUCUCCUUAUUCAAGUGCAUAAAAUUCAUAGUAGUAAACUGUGCCUUACCCCCUUUCAGUUACAUGGACAUAAGAAAAACAGUUACUGUCCUUCUGGUACACAAAUAUGCCGCCAGGGGCAGGUGAUAAGGCAGCAGCAGUGUUGCACUGUGGGCAGCAUUAUUCAGAUGUGUUCUUCCUGGGAUCCUGAUGUACCUGAGGUUCACACAUUAGCAGCCUUGGCUUUUUCAUCAGGGAAAUGAAGCAUCCAUAAGCAACAAAACAAGAGGCUUAAAAUCAUCCUCAU